rnacentral:rRNA from 1 species
CCUACGGGAGGCAGCAGUGGGGAAUAUUGCACAAUGGACGAAAGUCUGAUGCAGCAACGCCGCGUGGAGGAUGACACAUUUCGGUGCGUAAACUCCUUUUAUAUGAGAAGAUAAUGACGGUAUUAUAUGAAUAAGCACCGGCUAACUCCGUGCCAGCAGCCGCGGUAA